rnacentral:lncRNA from 1 species
AGCAUAACUAAUUUUUGGGAUGAAGAAAACCAGGAACCAAUUACCAACAAAGAAAACAGGAGCUCAUAUAUGAAAUGAUUAUGGCCACUGAAAAACUCAAGAGUUCGUUUUCUAGCUGAACCAUUGAACCAAUAUAAUCUAUACAUAACUUCUCUGCACACGCGAAUAGUUGGCUAAAAAUAUAAUACCAGAGGAGUGGAUGCGCUCAUGCGCAGUUUAUCUUCCUACAUGAAUAUUGGGGAGGUAAUCAGGUAAGUAUAAUAUCUGAGAAGGAUUUACAGGGAAGAUCCCAAUAUAAUGAAAUCGAGAUCAUGUCCAACCAUGGAUAACAAAAGGCAACAUUCCAGUUCCCCCACAAUUCCGGCCCCCAAGUGGUCUGUCUUUUCCAUCCAGUGCAACUGCCUUUAGAGAGUUGCUUAUCCGUCGGUAUAAGAUUUGUUGGCUAUCCCUUAUGGUCAAAACACACAAGACACAAGCUGCACUUCAUGUCCUGAAUGCAUAAAAUAGCUCAAGUGAAGAUUGAAGACCUGACCGUUCUCAAGUGCAUCAGGUAGUUCAUAUGCAUAUGCAUCACAUAUCCUUCACUGAGGAUGACAAGUGAAGAUUUGGAUGAUACCCUAGUUUGUAUCUGUCUUAAUCUCUAAGUCUGACUUCAUGCAUAUUUAAAUGUAUUUGCUUCAGCUUUUCAAGUAUUUAAAUUUCAAAUCUCUAUUAAUAAAACAUUUUUCAUUGUGCUUGAGCUCCAAGUUAGUCUAGGGUUGUGUUGUUCUUCCAACCAAUGAGCACAUGACUAAAGCACUUUUAGGUCAGCUCUUUUUUUAGUCCAACUGGGUUUUGUGAUACACAGACCAAGUCAGCUACUGACCCAUGUGAGGCACCGCCCAAGCUAUAUAGCCGGUCUAAGUGUCCUCUUUAGAAUUAGUGGUUUUGUGAUGUCUUAUCACCUAUUUAAAACUGAUUUAGUUUUCAAAACCCUUGACUCUUUCUCUUGGCUUCAUUCCCAUUUGGGAAAAUCUCACUUGGCUUUUGUCUUAGGCGUGAUGGAUCCGUCAGAUCAUAUCUAUCUUACUUUUGGUGAGACAAAACACUACAGUCCAAAAUGAAGCCUUCUUGAUUUGGUAAUUGUGCGUGCCCUUUCAUGGCUGGUACUUUGCCUAUAUAUAUAUAAGGCUCUGCUCCUCAUACUCUUUGGUUGUUGAAAAUUGUCAUUUGCAUUUAGCAUUAUUUCUUCUUUGCUCCUUUGCUCUAAGUCUUCAUCGUUGAUUAUAAAUCUUAGAGCUGAGCACCAAACAUUUUCAAAACCCAUAUCAUUGUUCAUUGUUCAUUGUUCAUGCAUACCUUGAGAGCGGUCUAGGUGAUGCAACCCGGUGAAGUCUUCAUAGAGAAUUAGCUAGGGAGUUAGUUAAGUUCAUGUGAAGCAUGUUGUAAGCUGUCUUAGAGAAUUAGCUAAUGGCGUUAGUUAAGUUCUGCUUUGAAGCAUGGCAUAAUCCUAUGUGCAAAACACUUGAGAGACAAGAGAGCAAGUUUAGUUGAGUGCUAGUAGUUAGACUAGGCAGUAUGGCUAGAUGUGGUGUCAUCCUCUGAGUUGUGAGUCUUGUAAAGAAAUGUGUUUAUAAUAGUGAAAAAGUUUUUGAAGCAUGGCAUAAUCCUAUGUGCAAAACACUUGAGAGACAAGAGAGCAAGUUUAGUUGAGUGCUAGUAGUUAGACUAGGCAGUAUGGCUAGGUGUGGUGUCAUCCUCUGAGUUAUGAGUCUUGUAAAGAAGUGUGUUUAUAAUAGUGAAAAAGUUUGUCCCUCAAGAGUUAAGAGCACACAGUUUUUCUCCCUGGGUGCAAGGUUUCUGCGAGUACAAAUGUACUGGUGUUAUAUCUUUACUUUCUAGUACUUGCAUAUUUACAUUUAUAACUUAGUCUCACAGUAAACAGAAUAGCCUAAUCUUUACUAUCCUUACGCGCGGGAUAGAGAAAAAAGUUGUCAAAGAUUAAGACCUGAAAUCCCUAAUGUCAAAACAUAUCCAUGGUAAGUUAUACAGUAUUGUUUUUGAGAGCCACCAAAACCAACUAUACUCUUCAAGUUAACAUUAUAAUAUAAGAAGAAUUAGGUUGAAAGUGCCACCCAAAACCAAAGCAGGAGCUAGUAGUCUCUGUCCACUUAAAAAUCCUUCCUAACUCAAACAUUUUAUCAGAAGAUAUCAAAGCAAUGGUGACGCCCACUACGCGGGAGACUCAUAAGAAAGACUAUCCUCUGUCUUCUCUUAAACAAAAUACUAAAUCCAUGAUUCAAGAGACAGAUUGAAUGAACUCUUCAUGGCCCAUAAAAGAGAAGAUUGAACAAAGCAAGUAUCAUUAAGAACAUAAAUGAUGUGUUAGCAGACAAGUAAGGACUAAUCAAACAACUUGCAUCAGGCAACAUGAAAGAAAUAAGCAUCAAGCCAACACAUAUCCCUUCAUUUUUUGUUGGAAACUAUAGUAAUCGCUUAUAAUCAAGAAGAUAGUUGACAGAAAAAAGAUCAAUACCUUCGAUGGUUUAGCUGAAUGGUCCGAAUCCUCUUGACUGCCACUCUUGUUGUCAAGAUUGGAUCUUACAUGAAAGUAUGAAACCCAACUGACUUUGAGUUCACUGCAUACAAAUGAUAGUUAAAACCAUUGUCUAAUCAACAAUAACAUCUCUACAUAUGCUACUGUAUUCAUGCUUUUAUAGAUACAUGCAACUAAAGAAACAGAAAACCAGAUAAGAGUAUCUGAAGGGAACUAACUGGUUUAAGUUGCAGAGAGAAAAAGAACACUUACAGUGGGCUGGUGAGGAUUUUGGUAGGCGUUGCGGGAUGGCUGACUGGCUGAGAGAUGAGAGGAAGAAGAAGAAGAAGCCAUCUUCUCUCUUUCUAUGUUCCCCACGACAACGUAGAAAGAGGAAGAUUCCAAUCAAGAAGAAGAACCUUGAUUGCUCAGUGUGAGACUCUUCUAUUUCGUAUAACAUUUCAUUGCUUUUGAAAGAAGAUGAGUUUCAAUUACUGAAUAUGAAUAUAUGAUAUGAUCACUAGAGAAGAAAUAUGAAAUAGAAGAAACUCUAGCUACCUAUAAUUAGAAUAGAAUGGCAUCCCCCCUCUGUUAUAUAUUGUUGGAAAAAAAAAAAAAAAAACAAUGCAACUUGGGCUUUUAGCGGGCUAGGCGGAGUUGGUCCACGUCUAGGCGCUCUGGGUGGUUAUGUGUCUAGACCUAACGAGUAACGGAAAACGAGCCGUGAUUCACCUAGGCCUAACGGGUAACAGGCCAUGAUGAGCCUAGACCUACGUAUUGUAUUCGAUCAUAACGAGGUACAGGUAACGGGUAUGGGGAUUCCCAGUAUUCAGAUUUUUGAAUCAGGUAUGAGACAUGUAUGAUUAUUUGAUAUUUGUUCUCAUCCCCACUCAUUUAGGAUUGGAAAUAUUAUUAUAUAUAAUUUAUUUUAUAUAUAUUUUUUAAUAUAUAUAAUUUAUAAAUAGAUAUUUAUGUAAAAAUCUUCUGCAAUAAUUUUUUUUUUCUGAUUCUUAUAGUGAAUAUUUAUAGAAACUUUCUUUUUAAGUCGAGAGUUGUAUUCAUUUUUGUUAAAUUGAAUCAAGAAACUUAUUUAUUUUGAUAUUUGAUUCUAGUUUCAUAUUUCUAUAUUUCUAAAUUUUAAAAAAAAUUAAUUUAUUAAAUAAUUAUUAACGAGGAUCGGGGCAGGUAUGGGAACGUAAUCCCCAAAGGGAAAGGGGACGGGGAAUCCCUUACAGGGUCUGGGACGGGCAUGGGGAUUGGGAAUGAAAUAGGGUAUGUGUAUGAUUUUUUGAUCCACUGAGCAUACCCUCCCCAUUGUUCAUGUUAUGGCCUCAUUAUGCUCAUGUUAUGGUAAUUGCGUGUUCUACAGCAUUUCUAAGUUUCCAGUACUAAUGUCCUUAAAAGUAUUUCUUAUAUCUUUCUUAGUAGCAGUAUUAGUACUAAGAAAAAUUCUGUGUAAGAUGGUUUUGGUCUUGUGCCUCCCUAUGAAUACACCUGCAUAAUCAUACAAGUAUCGCUCAAAAUAUAUUGUUUGUCUCCUUUCAUGCAGCUUUCAUUUUAGGACAUGUGUUUCUCCAAAAUAUUUAUUAAAAUGUGACAACAUUCAUCGAUCAUGAACUUGGUAACAAUAUCUAGUGUUCAUUAAGAGGAACUUCCUCGUACCUAGUAAGAAGUUCAACAUAAGAAACUUGAAAUUGAUUUCAGGCCUUGUAUCUUAGCCCAUUAAGGUUGGGUCGUGUUUGGAAACCGACCCACCAAACUAAGUCCCUUCAAAUUCGCCUGCAGACGCAUUGAACCGGCUGCUCUAUUUAACGCUCCGGUUCGGCGCGUGGAGGUUACCCGCUUCUUGCUUCAACUCCGUCGUCCCCUUCCUCCGCUCUGCUUGAAAUGGAGUCAAGGUACUUUCUACUCUUUCUAUUACAUUUUCGGUGGAUUCAAACUUGUUUGGGUUGUCUUUUAUUCUGUACGGAUUUUUGGGAUUGUGAUCGAUGAUUAAUGGUUGGGUUUAACUUGAUCAUUGUUGAUUGGGUUUAAUUUACUUGAUCAUUGUAUGAGCUCAUUAUUACGCACGGGCUAAGCAUGACUGCUGUCCUUCCUAUGAAAGCACAACGGUUGCUGGUAAUUUCAUAGUACUAUAGUCUACCUAACUACUACUCCGGUAUUGGCAGUUAAGUAUUCGUAAGGUGAUAACAUUGUUGCUAGCUUUCAGAAUUUUGGUUCCAGUUGCUUUGUUCCCUUGUUGCUUACAUAUAUUAUCCUGUAUUAUUCUUAAAAUCUGACUAAACCAUGCCUCUGGAUCGUUUUUAGUGAGUCUACUUCUUUUGACCACAAUGAUACAUGAAUCUAUACUAUCACAGUAUGUAGUGUUCUGCAAAUUAUGUCAUUGAAAUUGAUAUAUAGAAGCACUUGAGUAUGGUUGCAUGAUCACACUUAGAUUUGAAGAUGAAGGAUUCAUUUAGUUUCGCAAAAGCAAGAAUUGUUGUGUAUAACCAUCAAGUUGAAUUCAUUGUAAUUUAGACACAAACAUGAAUGUUGUUCAAUGAAAGAUUAAAGAGCAAUAGAGGUAUGAUUUGAAGUAUGGAAAGAUUAUCAUUGGUGUAUUACGUACAAUUUGAUUGUACACCUCUGCUGAAAUUAUAGAAACAUGGUGAAUGCUCCUAAAGUUAGCCAAUACCUGGUUAAGCUCCCUGUCUUAACUCCUUGAACAAAAAUGCUUACGAUAUCUUGUUUUUAUUUAUUUGUGCCUUGCAUUAUAAGUCCGAAGUUAUAAUUUUGAGUAUUACUGGUAGACUUGUCAUGUUUCAAAUCAACAGAGCUCAUUUCUGCAUGUACUUCAUUCGUAAUGGUUAUUCAGCGCAAUGAAAUUUUCUACUUGCAUUUUAUCAAUUUGGAUUACAUAGCUUUGACACAUAAGUUUCUCUCAUGUGUCAAUAUAUUCCAAAGGUUGUUGAUCAAGCUGAAGCUGCUAAGUUGAUUGAUCCAACUGAUGUGCCAAUGUACCAGCCUGUGAAAUAAAACUUCCAAAGGGGUUCCAGCUGCAGCCAUCCCAUAGAAUUCACGAUAGUGAACAGAUGACAUGAUCAGAAAAAUGCCUCGGUAUGUUCACCUUUUUUUACCAGUCUUUACUCUUUUGAUUUGUACUUUCUAAAUCAUGCUAGUGUUGUUGUUUUUUUCUAUGCUAAUACAUUGCUCGGCUUUCACAUAUUACCCUUGUAUUACUAAUCAAAGGUUUUAUCUCUUAGAUUUACUAAUUCUGAAAACCAAAUUUGGAAAGGCUUGGUCUUGGCGUUGGAGACUGAGAUGAGUGAAUCGAUUCUCUGUUUAUUUUUAGCCAAUUUUCAUUUCCUCAGUCGAUUUCAUUUCUCUAUAGAACUUAGAAAUGUUAGAAUGGUUUUGGUAAAAAAGAAAGCAGAGUCCUCCAAGACCCAAGGUCAAGAUGCCUACUAAUCACGGGGUGAGAUUAAUUAGAGAACUGUUUGAUAUCAUUUUCACACAUUUUAAAGUAUUAAGCAAGUUUCGGAUCAACUUCCAGUUUUGUAGUUUAAUUAUCUUAUUGGCCGGCGGCAAGUUGAGAUAUUAUAACAUCUGGGUUUGAUAUUUUCUCAAGCAAUAGGUUUUAAAUACUUGACAUUUCUGUAUCAUGACAUUUUCACCGUACCAUGUGAAACCGAAGAUUAGGAUCACCUUGUUCAGACAACUAACUCAUUUAAAAUGACUUCUAUGGCCAAGUUGUUAGUUAUCUAUGUCAUGGUCGCUAACAACUUUCUCAAGCUUUUGCCUUUGGUGGGUUCCAAUGAGGCAAUGACCUGCAAUAGUUGACAUUAUUGGCUCUCUUGUUGUUUCCAGUGAAUAUCAAUGAUACAUUUCCAGUGAAUUGAGUAGGAAAAGCUGCUGUAAAUUUGCCUACCGAUUGUAAGGGCAAGGAGGAUAGCUUUAGAGUGUAAGGGUCUACCGAUUGCAUUGAUAGCUGUUGCAAGGGCGCUCGGAGAUGAGGACUUGGAGGAAUGGGAGAAGGCAGCUGAACGACUAGAGCAGUCGAAAUAUGUCAAUCCUAACCAUGAGGAAGAUGCAUUCCAAUGUAUAAGAUUAAGCUAUAAUUACUUGAAAGAUGGGGAUUCCAAGUCAUGCUUCUUGCUCUGUUGCCUGUUCCCAGAAGACCGUAACAUCGAAAUAGAAGACUUGUUCCGGUACGCGAUCGGAAAAAGAUUGUUUCGAGAUGCCCAAACAAUGGAAGAAGCCAGAGGAAAAUUAGUUACAGUGGUCAAGUACCUGAAAGGUUCUAGCUUGCUUUUGGAUAGUGAGGAAGAAGGAUGUGUUAAGAUGCAUGAUGUCAUCCGGGAUACAGCCCUGAAUAUUGCACAAUCUGAAGAUGGGCAUCGGUUUUUUGUGAAAGCUGGCUGUGGUUUAAAGGGUUGGCGGCCACGCGGAUUACAUGAAGGCUGCACUGCUAUUUCACUAAUGAGGAACAAAAUUCGCAAGCUACCCGAAGAAGAGUUGGUAUGUCCAAAUCUCCAGAUUUUAUUACUAAACAGGAAUUUUGGACUAAGUGAGAUCCCCGAAAAGUUGAUCCAGAAUCUGAAAGAGUUAAGGGUCUUGGAUCUUAGCAACACUAGUAUUUCCGUAUUACCCCAAUCAUUUAGUCUCCUCACCAACCUCCAAGCUUUGUAUUUAGAUGAUUGCAGCAAAUUAAUUGACAUUUCCGUUGUGGGGAAACUUAACAAGCUUGAAAUUCUUAGUAUGAGAGGUUGUCCCAGGGGGCAAUUGUUCAGAGAAAUAGAACAUUUGACCAAUCUACGGAUUUUGGACGUCAAUCGCUCUUGGGGACAAUUCAUAUUGAGAGGAAGAAUGGUUACAAUUCCAUCUAAAGUGAUAUCAAAGUUGCAAGAAUUAGAAGAAUUGUACAUGGUGUACUAUGUAUUUGAGGAGGAUGGGUCGUGUGUAGCUGAGGGACCAAGAGAAAGAACCAAUAUUAUUAGGUUUGAUGAGAUAGCUGGUUUAUCAAAUUUGAAAAUAUUGCAGGUUGGCUUAUCCGAUGAAGGUUUUAUCCCUAAAAAUGUUGAGGCCGCACCAGAUUGGGAUUACUUUUGUAUAAGUGUCUUCGGCAGAUGCAGCGACACUACAUUCUGGCCCGUUGCAUACAAACAAGGAGAUCGUAAUUCAAGAUCCUUGCUUCUUAAUGGAGCAACCAUCAAUACCUUGGCUGAUUGGUUUAUCAAAGCGGUGACAGAGAAAACAGAAAAGCUAGAGUACAACCGCUGCAAAGGGAUGAGUGACAUUGUUAUGGAAUAUGACCGUGGGAGGUUACAUAAACUCAAGCAUCUCACAGUUGCUGGGCCACAAGACGAGUUGAAAGAGUUGAUGAACACAACAAGACGAGUUGAAAUAGGACCAGUGUUUGAGAAUUUGGAAGAGUUGCAUCUGAAAUUAGUGUUCGACCUGGAGGAGUUGUGUGUUGGUGAGUUACCACCUGGGUCUCUCUCAAAUCUCAAGGUGUUUCAUGUGUAUUGUGGUUGGAUUUUGAGGAGUGUAUCAGAAUUUGUACAGAGACUACCAAAUCUGAAGAAACUAGAUUUAAACUCUAUGCUCAAAUUGGAACAUGUGUUCAGAUGCGAAGGGUUCGAGCCAGAACAAUCAAAACUGAGAGAGAUGCAUUUGUUGUGGCUAGAAGAACUAAGAAACAUAUGUAAUGGACUAAUGGUCCCGCUCCACGUGCAAUGUUCCAGAGUCUUAAGAUUUUGACGAUUUACCGUUGCGAGCUGCUGCAAAGUCUGUUCGCAUCUGAUGUAGCUCAGUGUCUUGUUCAAUUGGAAGACCUUCUUGUACAGGAUUUCCCUUUGUUGGAAAGAGUAAUGGAAGCAGUGAACAAGGAGAAGACGGUUCUACCAAAACUGAAGAACUUGGUUUUGAAGAAUCUUCCUAAUUUGUAUGGUGCAAUUGCUGUCGUUGAUAUUGAGUGUCCUUCAUUGGUACGCUUGAUGGUGGUGGAUUGCCCCAAGCUUUUGUUUUCAACCUCUUCCGAUCUCUUCGAAGCCUUCAAAUGCAGGAACCAAUUUUCAUUUUCAGCCUCCACGUCUGACCCAGUCCAACUCGAUGAUCCACAACAUUACCAAACUCUACGUGGCAGGUAUUGAAAUAGUUUCUUAGUUUGUUCUUUUCUUCUGUAUUUUGUAGGGCAGCAAUUGGGCAAAAACUGAUUUGAUCAAUUAAUAUCUGUGAUUCAAUUUUUAUUCGUCCCACUCUUUUAAAACAAUUGAGCUCUAACUAUAGGACAGAACACGAAACACAAUUAAAAUAGUAUUUUUAUUUUCAUUCUUAUUUUUCUUUGUUAUCUGUGAACAACAACAAAAAAGUCAAAAUUAUGCACAAUAUUUAAAGUUGAUGAUUGUUUCGUUUUCUUUACUCUAGUAAUGCAAGUUAGAAGCAAUGUUAUGGACACUCCUAGAAUGUUACUUUUCUGUUUAAAUCUAUAAUUUUAAUAGUAAUUCUUUUUUCUUUUCUUUUUUUUCCUAUUUUGAUGCAACAGAACAUCUGGUUUCCACUAGUGAAGUCUCUAGCUCAGCUUCUGACUUCCAUUGCAGGAAGUAACCAAGUUCAACUCUAUUUCUUUGUCCAGGUAUGCUAUGUGAUCAACUGAAUUAUUUUCUUUUCAUUGAAUGGUAAAUUUCUUGUGAUUCCAUAGAAACUACAAAUGUCACCUUUUUCUAAGAUAAUGGAGUUCUCAUAAUUCAUUGGCUUUCCCAGUCUUCUGUGUAUUAGUGAUUCAGUGCAACAAGCAAAAUUUUAACUACAAUUUUCUUUUUCGCUCCUAUGUUCUUAUUUUUCUUGUUAUAAUUCGUCGUUAUCAAUCAUUUCUUGGACAGUAAAUUGGUUGUUGGACAAAUCCAGCACGCGGAUACUAGAUGAGAGAGAAAGUACUGGAAGCUCCCCAGAAAGAAGGUUAGAGCUGAAAUCAAGGACCUCAAGAUGAGUCAAGGACAAGAAGGAAGCAACACUUUGAUGUAGAAAAUUUUGGGAGAGAUUCAAGUGGGUGAGAUGUGUGAGAUUUUCAAGUGCUAGUUUUGAUGAAGCAAAUGUAAUACAUUGUUUGAGUGUGAGGCCAUCGGAGGCCAAUGAGAUACGGGUGACCCAACCAGCCGCAUCGCAGUUGAUGCCUUGCCAGCAGCAACAGCCACCGGAAGUCCAGUUUAAGGAAGAAAGAGAAGAAAGAGCCAGAGAGAAGUAUGUUCAGUUGGGUUGCAUGCAUGGAUGAUACUAGCAGUACUACUUAGUAUGUAACAGAAUACGAUAAGAAAAAGAAGGAAACAAUGAGAAUUGAUGAUCUAGACGUGGACAACAACAACGAGCAUGAAACCGCAUGGCUCCUUUCGUCAACUCCCUGGUUUUAUGUUCUUGCUGGGAUUGGGUUCAUUGUAGGAUUCUGGGGAGUGUGUGGUUCAUUGAUUUUCAGCGAGACACGGAGAUAUGCAUACUUCCGUUUCAUAGAAAAGGUACAAGACAUGUUCUACGUGACGAUCGCUGUGUGUAUCAAGUACCAACAAGAUGAAGAGAAGGCUGGACCUGAAUUUGUAAUUACCCACUGUUGCUUGUUUUCAAUUGUGAAUUUGUGGCACCUGAAUCGUGAGUGAUGCUGCUGAAAUGCUUCCUCUUUUUCAUUAGUUCAAUCCACACCUUCCUCUUAAGGAAAACUAAAUCAGUAACAGGGUUUCAAAUGGGAUGAGAGUUCUAUAAUAUGACCAACAUAAUCAUCAACUCACUGAAAAUGAGAGGAGAAAACAUUCAAUGAAUCAGCAGGGAGCACCGCAAAUUGCAAAGAUUAUUCCGCAUGUGUCUUCUAGUACCUGUUAUAUAAAGAACUGUAUGAAACAAUACAGCUUGCAUUGAAAAUGUCAAAUAUUUGUACAAUUAAUGGCUCUAAUAUGACACCCUCAAAUUCAAAACUGCAUCGGCUUGAACAACACAGGAUUCUAGCUAAAUUUGCUAACAACACAGGAUUCUAGCUAAAUUCAAAACUCGCCGGUGUUGUUGGAUGGUUUCUGUUAAGAAUUUGGCACUAGCCGACCAUUGUACAUCUUCUCAAGUAGAUGCUUUGCAUCAGGCCUCCUGAGAAGACCUUUGUUGUUUGGUACACCAGUCCCUAAACAUACGGGCAAACGAGUUUUCCACAACCUGACAAUAAUAAGAACCAAUCACUCAUCAAAGAUAAUGAGUAUCCAUAACAGUAGGAUACAAACAUUAUUUCUUCUUUGCUCCUUUGCUCUAAGUCUUCAUCGUUGAUUAUAAAUCUUAGAGCUGAGCACCAAAUAUUUUCAAAACCCAUAUCAUUGUUCAUUGUUCAUGCAUACUUUGGGAGCGGUCUAGGUGAUGCAACCUGGUGAAAUCUUCAUAGAGAAUUCGCUAGGGAGUUAGUUAAGUUCGUGUGAACCAUGUUGUAAGCUGUCUCAGAGAAUUAGCCAAAGGCGUUAGUUAAGUUCUGCUUUGAAGCCUAGCAUAAUCUUAUGUGUAAAACACUUGAGAGACAAGAGAGCAAGUUCGGUUGAGUGCUAGCAGUUAGACUAGGCAGUAUGGCUAGGCGUGGUGACAUCCUCUGAGUUGUGAGUCUUGUAAAGAAGUGUGUUUAGAAUAGUGAAAAAGUUUGUUCCUCAAGAUCAGUUAGGGGCACACAGUUUUUCUUCAUGGGUGCAAGGUUUCUGCGAGUAAAAAUGUACUUGUGUUAUAUCUUUACUUUCUAAUACUUACAUAUUUAUAUUCACAACUUAGUCUCACAGCAAACAGGAUAGCCUAAUCUUUGUUAUCCUUGUGCAUGAGAUAGAGCAAAAAGUUGUCAGAGAUUAAGGCCUGAAAUAUUCCCUAAUGUCAAAACAUAUCCAUGGUAAGUUAUACAAUAUUGUUUUUGUAAGCCACCAAAACCAACUAUACUCUUCAAGUUAACAUUAUAAUAUAAGAAGAAUUAGGUUGAAAGUGCC